rnacentral:lncRNA from 1 species
GAUAGACAGCCAUCGGCGUGCGACAGAGACCCAGGAGAGGCUCCCUUGCCCCCUGCGUCCACAUUGGGUGAGCCUGCAGCGCUGGGCAGGGCACCAUGGACACCUGGCGAGGAAACGCAGCGGCAGCAUCUGCCUGCGCAUCCUGUGGCAGGGGCUGGUGUCGAAGGGCGCAUGGGCCUUGCAAAGGGGCCCCAGCCAGCGCCCCCUGGCCCCGGAGCAGAGCUCUGCAAGGAAAGUAAAACAAAUCAAUUGCAUCUGAUUUCAUUUUUAAAAGGAAGAGUCUGCGCUUGAGAAAUGGCAUCCGGUGGCAAGGCUGAAACUUCUUCUUGGAGGGGCUCCAGCUGCAAUUCAGUUGGGAAAGCUCCUCGAAGGCCGCCUUGUGUCGGCCAUAACCCCCUGCUUAGAGCCCUCGCCCUCCCCUGUCUGUGUGCGGCUGGAGGCCUCGUCCGCCCAGGUGCUCUCCCCAGCCC